UUUUUUCUAAUUCAUUUAGGUGGUGGGUUAAGUUGUCGAUUGGAGAUUUUUCUUCUUUUUGGAGGAAGGUCUGUAUCACUAUGAAUUUCCCUCUAAGCACAGCUUUUGUGGCAUCCCAUAGAUUUUGAGUGGUUGUAUCUUCAUUAUCAUUUGUCUCAAGGUAUAUUUUAAUUUCCUUUUUGAUUUCCUCACUGACCCAUUGGGGUUUUUUUUAGUGGCAUGUUGUUUUGUCUACAUGUAGUUAGUUUUUUCUCAUUUCUUUCUUGUGGUUGAUGUCUAGUUUCAUGCCACUGUGGUCAGAGAAGAUACUCGAAAGAAUUUCUAUACUUUUAAAUGUGUUGAGGUUAGUUUUGGGCCCAGUAUGUGAUCAAUCCUUGAGAAUGUCCCAUGUGCACUUGAGAAGAAUGUAUUCUGAUUUUUUGGGGUGUCAUGCCCUGAAAAUGUCAACUAAGCCUACCUUUUCUACUGUGUCAUUUAGGAUCUGUUUUGGCAUAUUGAUUUUCUGUCUAGAGGGUCUGUCCACUGAUGCGAGUGGGGUGUGAAAGUCUCCUACUAUGACUGUGUUCCCAUCAAUUUCUCCUUUUAUGUCUGUUCAUAUUUGUUGGAGGUAUCAGGGUGCUCGUAUAUGAGGGGCAUAUAUAUUGACGAUUCUAAUGUCCUCUUCUUGAAUGGAUCCCUUUAUCAUUCAAUAUGCCCUUCUUUAUCUUUCUUUAUGGCCGUCAUUUUAAAGUCUAUUUUGUCUGAUACAAGUAUUACCCCUCCUGUCUUGUCCAUUGGCGUGAAAUAUCUUUUCCCACCCCCUUAUUUUCAAUCUCUUUGCCCUAAGGUGCCCUAAGGUGAGUCUCUUGUAGACAGCACAUUGUAGGCUUUUGCUUUUUUUGUCCAAUCUGCUGUGUGUCUUUUGAUUGGAGCAUUUAGUCCAUUGACAUGUAAACAUGGCUUGAGGGCCCUUCUCACAUCACCCUGCUCCUUUGACCCAUCUGCGGCCAGCUGGCCUCAGUGCUGCCCAGACCCUGAGGGUCGCGGUGCUCACAAGUCCUGAACCCGACUCACUGGAGAGUCGGAGGAAAGUCCUCUUGUCUCAGAUCUUCCUCAGGACGGUCCCCUGUUCCUGUUCUGCUUCCUGGCUCACAAGGGGACCUGGGCCGAGGGAGUCGCCACCUUCCCAAGGGGUUGGUUCUAACCUCAGGUGGUGCCCUGAGCUGGGGUGGGGCUCCUGCUGUGUGUGGUAGCGAGUCCCGGCAUUGUGCCUGGGGAAGACUGGACAGACCCCAGGGCGUCUGGGCCAGAGGACACCAGUCAGAGGAGCUUCCAGGCCCGUGAUCCACCUCCCAGCCCCAGGCGUGACCGGGCUGGGCCUGCCCAGCAGGGUGGGGCCUUUGCUUCCCUCUGGAGGUGGGUGCUGCAGGGGGCGGGGACCAGAGUGGACCCAGGCCAAUGCAUCUGAGGGACACCGUGUCUGCUGUAGCCCCCCCCGCCCCCAAAGCCAUGCCCCCAGUGCCGCUGCAGGCCUUUUCUGGAGCCCUGCCAGGAAGGGGGCUCACUGUGGCUACCGCCUACGGAAGACCCGCUGGCGUGGUGCCAGGUGCCGGCUCCUUCACAGGGACUGCGUCUCCGCGGCCUCAUCAGGAGGCUGUGGCGUGGGGCCUCUGUGAUUCCUGCAGAAGGAUGGGGUGGGGCUGUGUGGGGUUGACAGCAGGGUGACCACCCGUUCAUGAGUCACCGGGCCAGGGUCACCCACUGCCUCAGAGCCCCAGCCCCAACCGUCUACACUACCCCUCCUCCCAGGGAUGCAGGGACAUGGAGUUUGGUGCCUGUGCAGACACACAAAGUGAAGUAAGAGUUUUAACUGGGGGAACCCCCCCUCCACCGCCUCCAGCCCUGAAAAUUGACUGCCAGCCUUUUCAGCUAUGCUGGCCUCACACCAUCCUUCUUGUAAUUGUGUAGCAACUACGUGCCCUACGUCCAAGCCAGCAGCCCUGCUGACCGUGCUCCAAGCAUUGCCUAUCAGCUUCGCUUCCGUCACCUUAAUGCUCAGUUUCUUAGGCAGGAGCACUGUCUGCUCGGGGAAGGGCGAGGUCCGGGCUGCUCACACGGAAAACCGAGAGCCUGUAAUGUAUAAACGUUGCAGAGAACAAAGGCCUGGUGCUCAGACUCUGGAGGUGGCUCCUCUGAGCCCGCACCAGUGCGGAAUAAACCUCACUCUCCCGCAUCUCCGAGGGCCCUUUGUCUCCUUCCGCUGCCAUGGUUUCUGCAGUUUCUGCAACAACAGAACCCACCUUAGAGAGGACAAGGUCUGGCUGCUCCCAGGACUGAGAACUGAGAGCGGCUCAAGCCCAAGACUGGCCACGAGGGGGCGCCCACACACGCUCUACAAAGGCUUUGACAACUGAAGGCUCAGGGGACCCCCAGCCCAGUGACAGCAAACUAGAGCUAGUGACCUGAACCUCAGCAGGUUGGUUACCUGCCGAGACAAAGACGACAAUAUUCUCCAUGGAAUUUCAAUGAGACCCCGAGUUUCCUGACUUUAUCGUGAAUGUAGCUGGAAUAGAAUUCUAAAUGACUUGGCGUUCAAAGAACAAGAUCCCAAUUUGCGUCGGUGGAAGAAGAAAAUCCAGACUUGCUAACACAGAUGGUCCAGAUGUGGGAACGAGCUCGCACCACAGCAGCUCCAAUUAUGAAGAUGCUCCAGUGACCCAUCGCAACUACUUUAGAAGCCAAUGGAAAAGUGAAAACAUCCUCCAUAAAUGAAUGGCAGGUAUAAGAAGGGAACACGUGGACAUUUUAAAGGUGAAAAAUGCAGGAACCCAAAUACUCUCUCAGGAGCAGAAUAGAGAAGGUGAAGGAAAAGCCACUGAGCUGAAGAUGCAUCGAUAGAAAUGAUCCCCCCUGAAUAAUAGAGAAAAGGAUAGAAAAGCAUGAACGUAGCCUCGGAGACCUGUGGGAUGAUAACAGAAGACCUAGAAGGCAGGUGUCACUGGACUCCCAGAAGGAGAAGAGAGUGGGUGCCCUGCUGAGACGUAUUGGGGGAAAUAAUGGCUAAAGUCUUUCUGAAUUUGGUGAAGGGCAUAAACCUACUAAUUCAGUCCCAAACAGCAGGAGCUACAAUUCACACACACAGAGCAAAGCAACUCUGUCCCAACGAAACGGCUGAACGGAAGGCAAAGAACAAAUACUGAAACCAGCCAAAGGAAAAAUGUAUUACCUACAAGGACACAACCUUUCAAGUGACUGCAGAUUUCUCAUUAGCAUCCGUUUAUCUCUGUGACGGAGACAAGAGAUCAGCAGGAGAGGAAAUAACUGAUGUUUAGCAUCAGAUGUUAGUGGGAUCGAACUGACACAUCACAUUCCAUCCCACGACUGCAGAACACACGUUGUUUUCAAGUAUACACGGAACAUUCCCUGACACAGACCAUAUCCCGAGUCAGAUCAGAUUUCAAAGAAUUGAAAUCAUACAGAAUACGUUAUCUGACCAAAGUGGAUUUAAACUAGAAGUCCGUAGAAGAAAGAUCGUAGAAAAAUCACCCCACACUUGAAAAUUACACGGAACACUUACAAAUAAUCCAUGGAUCAAAGAGGAAAGUCCUUGAACUAAAUGGAAAUGACAAUACAGGAUAUAAAAAUGUGUGCGACGCAGAUAAAGAAGUGCUGAGAAGGAAAUGUAUAGCAUUGGAUGCUCAUUUUAGAAAAGAAGAAAGGCUCGAAUCAAUAAUCUAAGUUUCCACCUUAAGAAAUAGUGAUUAGACCUGUUUAAACCCAACAGCAGCAAAAGGAAGGAAAUAACGAAGGCAGGACUAGAAAUCAAUGAAAUCAACCCCAAAACCAAUACAGAAAAUGAAACCCAGAGUUGGGUCUUUGAAAAAAAAGCAGUGAAAUUGUCGGGGAGUUCCCCUUGGGGCACAGUGGAAAUGAAUCCAACUAGUGUCCAUGAGGAUGCAGGUUUGAUCCCUGGCCUCUCUCAGUGGGUUGGGGAUCCAGCAUUGCUGUGAGCUGUGGUGUAGGCUGGCAGCUGUAGCUCCAAUUAGACCCCCUAGCCUGGCAACCUCCAUAUGCUGCAGGUGCAGCCCUAAAAAGCCAAAAAAAAAAAAAAAAGCAGUUUAGGUUUAUAAAAAAUUGAGAAGCUAGUGCAGUUUCCAUACACUCCAUGGCUAUAGUUUCCCUAGUAUUAUCUUACGUUCCUGUGGUAUAUUUGUUACAAUUAAUGAACCAUCGCUGACGCAUUAUUAGCCAAAGUCCAUCAUGUACUGGGAUGACCUAGCUUUUCACCUAAUGGCUUCUUUCCUGUCCCAGAGCCCCGUCCACGCUACCUUUGGUGUCUUGCCUUCUCGGAUUUCUCAGAGAGUCUUGGUUCUGAGGACCUUGGUGGUUUGAAGCACACGGGUCGGGGUCCUGCGGGAUGCCCUCUGGUGGAACCUGCUCGGUUGACUCCUCAGGACUGGACUGGAGUCAUGGGCUUGGGGAGGAAGAUCAGAGGGCAAGUGCCCUCUCGUCGCAUCGAGGGUACUUUAUGACUCACCCCAUCCACAUGCUUCCUAACUACUGAUGUUGGACUUGAUCGGACCCUCUGGCUGAAGCCCUUGUAUUCCCUUUUCCCCUUUCCAGGCUGUAGGAUUGGGAGAGAAGUCGCUUUGUGGAGCCCACACUUGCAGAGGGGGGGUGAUGCUGCCCUCCUCUAGACUGGAAUAUCUGCCUAAUUUACUUGGAAUUCUUCUGCAAGGAGGUUUAUUUCUUCUCCAUUUAUUUCAUUAUUCCAUUAGUUGUGCUUUUAAAAUUAUCAUGGACUUCCCAUUGUGGCUCAGUGGUAUGGAACCUGACGAGUAUCCAUGAGGACUCAGGUUCGACCCCUGGCCUCUCUCUGUGGGUUAAAGAUCCAGCGUUGCCGUGAGUUGUGGAGUAUGUCACAGAUGUGACUCGGAUCUGGUGUGGCUGUGGUGCAGGCCAGCAGCUGCAGCUCCAAUUCGACCCCUGGCCUGGAAGCUUCCAUAUGCCACGGGUGCAGCCCUAAAAAGACAAAAAACGAGAAAAAAAUGUGUUUUGUUCACCAUAUCUGCUCCGCUUUGGCCUCUGGGAACCCUUUUAGAAACCAGGAACUGGCCACUAGGUGUUGCCUGGUGAUACAGCGUGACUUCUUUCGGGCUCCUCAGCUGGCAGGCUGGAGACGCGGGUGUGUGCCCAGCAACCCCGUGUGUGCAGAGAUCCCUAAGUGUGUCUGUGUGGAGCCACCCGUGUCUGCACUAAGUCCUCACGUCUUCAGGGUAUGUCCACCCAAAAAUCUGAACGUAGGUGUUUAUAGCAGCUUUAUACAAAAUUGCCAAGACCUGGAAGCCGCCCAGAUGUGCACAUUCACGCGAUGGGAUAUUGUUCAGCAGUGAGAAGAAAUGAGCUGUCACGUCACAGAGACACACGGGGGGACCGUCCCUUC
rnacentral:lncRNA from 1 species